ensembl:lncRNA
CUAUGGGGUGGUGUGGUUAGCUCAUGAGGGGAACUCUUACCACAGACAAGCAGCUUCUCUAGGGGCUUCUGAGAGAGCAGAAAUAUUGCACUUCGAGUGAAGUGUCAUAGAGAGGGAAGCAAAUGGUUCCAUGGAACAACCUCCUUGAGCAGGGUGAGCCCUGCCUCCAACUUCGGGUGCUGAAAUCGGUGGAAAGUCCCUCAGGAUUUCAAGAUAUGAUCUGCAAGUGAAGGAUGGUGGCUUGAAGGUCACUCUACAGGGCCUAGCAGGCAGCCAGCAAUCUUCAAAGAUCUGGAACCACUGUCAAAAAGUAGAAAAUUCCCAGCCUUUAAGUUCCUGCUGCUCAGCUCCUGAC